AGCAGUCUCAGCUGUAAAAAUAGAGUCCCCAGGGAAUACUGAUAGCCUUUUUCCAAUAAAGCGAAAUCUAUUUGCAAUAAUAGGUAUAUGCAAAGACCUCCUGAAAUUACAGGAGCAAACUCCUUCCGCAUCUCGACCUAAUUAAGAUCCGUUACUCAACAGUGAUCAGUCAGAUUUUACUGUAAGAAGGAAGAAAACAAGGAUCCUGCUAGAACAACAUGGAAACAGGCUGAUCUUAGGACCUACAACAAAGAGAUUUCUCACUGGCUUCCUGGUGGUUCAUUCAAUAGGGAAUUCCUGCAGCAAGUUGGAGGGAGGGAGGAGAAGCAGCAUUGAAGAUGGUUUCCAAUAUCCAGAUGGACAGGCUGACCAUGAGUGCAAAUCUUCUUGUCCUUAGGAAAAAAAACUUCAAAGGGUAGACAACAGCCAAAUACCGAUCAACGGCAAUGCAGGAAAGACACACACAGAGAUCCAAUAUUGGCUGGAAUGCUGACUAUAAUCACAAAGAUGUAAACAAUGGGAAACAAAUAGUGAUCCAGGUCAUGCUGUUCUUCAAUACAUGUGCUGUUCAUUUUUUCCUUUUUAAGGUAGCAAUUAUAUUAGUUCUUAGAAAGUAAACAGA
rnacentral:lncRNA from 1 species